rnacentral:rRNA from 1 species
UACAGAGGUGGCAAGCGUUGUUCGGAAUUACUGGGCGUAAAGGGCGCGUAGGCGGUUCGUUAAGUCCUGUGUGAAAUCCCCCGGCUCAACUGGGGAACUGCACAGGAAACUAGCGGGCUUGAGUUCGGGAGAGGGAAGCGGAAUUCCGGGUGUAGCGGUGAAAUGCGUAGAGUAUCCGGAGGAACACCGGUGGCGAAGGCGGCUUCCUGGACCGACACUGACGCUGAGGCGCGAAAGCUAGGGGAGCAAACGGG